UAGGGAAUCUUCCUCAAUGGACGAAAGUCUGAUGGAGCAACGCCGCGUGAGUGAAGAAGGGUUUCGGCUCGUAAAACUCUGUUGUUAAAGAAGAACAUAUCUGAGAGUAACUGUUCAGGUAUUGACGGUAUUUAACCAGAAAGCCACGGCUAACUACGUGCCAC
rnacentral:rRNA from 1 species